UACGAAGGGGCUAGCGUUGUUCGGAAUUACUGGGCGUAAAGCGCGCGCAGGCGGCUAUCCAAGUCAGUGGUGAAAGCCGGAGCUCAACUCCGGAACUGCCAUUGAAGCUGUUUAGCUUGAGGAUGAGAGAGGUGAGUGGAAUUCCAGUGUAGAGGUGAAUUCGUAGAUAUUGGAAGAACACCAGUGGCGAAGGCGACUCGCUGACAAGUAUUGACGCUGAGGUGCGAAGCGUGGAGCAACAGGAUAGA
rnacentral:rRNA from 1 species